rnacentral:lncRNA from 1 species
UGUAUAAAAAUACACACGUGAAGAAAAUACUGUAGUAUAUCUGUACAUACCCAUCACCAGCUUGCACACUUGCUGACUGAUGGCCAGUCUUGCUCUUUCUUAGGUCCACAUCCAGCCAAAUCUGCCUCUCUGAAUAAUUUUGAAGCAAACUCUAGAUGUCAGCUUAUUUCAUCUGUAGUAUUUGAACAUGCAUCUGUAAAGGGCAUGUCACUGGUGGUAUACUUCACAGUUA